UUCCGUCUGUGCGUGUCAAACGAGAGUUUGAGGUUUGGGUUGUCCAUCUCGUGUACAUCAUGUUCAGGAGAAUAAGAGAGCGGCCUCCUGUUUAUCAAACUACCACGCACUCAGGGGAGACUGGGACUAAAGUGUUUAAUUGAAGCAUCGGAGGAAAGUGACACAGAAGAAAGAGUGUCUGAUGCGACAUUGUAUUUGCUAAUCUCACUUCACGUUAUGCAUAUAAUAUUUCAAAAGAUCUAUAACUGUUUUACUUAUCAGCAUCUUAAUGUACAAUUAGCAAGCCAUGAUUUUGAAUUACACUCGUCGCACAUUUAUAUGACACAAUACCACACCCUCAUAUUGGACUCAAAUGAUAUGUAAUAUGCUGAUGAAACAGUGUGGUUUUGUACAACAUAGCAACCACCCCUCCCCCUCAGGAAAGAGCUCUACAAGUGCCGCCAACAGGAUUAUAUUCAAGUUAAUAGGAAGCUAUUCAUAAAAACACACACAAAACAAGUGUAACAUCUUCCACCGAUGAUAUUUUCUCACCGACCAGCACCGCUGUUUUUAAAAUGAUGGAAUAUCAUGUUUUUAAAGCCACGCCGUCAGACUAUGUGGAAGCCUGAUGCAAUCUGAUCACAUGUUUACUAGACUUCCUCUUUAUUUCUUUGUGUGAUUUUUAUGUAUGCUAAAGACCAAGUGCCUUUUCUCUCAUUUCUGAUCUGUCUUUUAUCGGUUAAAAUGCCCUUAAAAGGAAUUGAUUCGAGUCCGUCUUCGAACGAAACUCGCUGUAGUCCAAUAGGCGUGCAUUCGUGCUUCUUUAAGACAGCGACUGCAGGGCCUCUUCCUGUGGUUUGCACCAUGUGGCCUAAAAAGUGUUAAAAGGCGACAACUUCUUUCUCUUUUAGCUGUUGUUUCCGGGAUCAAGCAGGCAGAGAACUGGUUUAACAAAUAGCUGUAAAACGAACAUUCGGAGCACAUGGAGAUAAGAGGAAACGUGCAAAGAAAGGAUUGGAGCUCGAAGAGAAGAGGCGGGAACAUCAGUGCAGUCACUCAUAAAGUAGACAGCACUACUAAAGGUCUCUACACAGUGUAGUGUUUCCUACUUUAUGGAUGAGUGUACUGUUUGCUGCGAAGGAUGAUCUUAUGGAGAACCAAAUGAUGCUGAAUCUGAAUGUCUUGUUUAUUAAAUAUGAAUAAAGAUGGUGUUUCAAGACUGAUUGUAAUGCAAUAAUGUUUUUGAGUGCAUUCGUCUUUAUAUGUGCAUGUUAACUUGUAUCAAACAACUUUGAAUUCAUGAAACAGUAAUAAAAUGAAGCUGAACUGC